GUGGGUGGAAGCUCAUCAUAGAGGUCACAUGCAGGGUGCUUGUCACUCAACCAAUCACCUUGGGGAAGGUCUGAGACAAGAGCCAAUCACUGCCCUAGCAGGGUAUCACCUGACCUGGGUGAGUGAGUGCACAGAGAAUAUGGGACAUUGUGAGUUGUCUUUACAGGAGAAACCAGCCAGAGCAGCUCUCCAGCACUACUGGUUGAUGUGACCUCACUGGCUUGGAAACACUCAUGGCUGGCAUAUGAGCGCAAUGUGUGAGUUGGAGUACUCCUCCAGAACCCAAUUCAGACUACUCUCUGCCCAC
ensembl:ribozyme RNaseP_nuc Nuclear RNase P